rnacentral:rRNA from 1 species
GACGAACGCUGGCGGCGUGCUUAACACAUGCAAGUCGAACGGGCCCGCCCCUGUUUUUGGGGGUGGGUUGGGUGGCGAACGGGUGAGUACCACGUGAGUAACCUGCCACCUGCUCCUGGCUAACUGAUUGAAAGGGUGGCUAAUACGGGGUGUGCCGGCUGGUCCGCAUGGGCCUGGUCGGGAUAGUUUCAUCUUCGGGUGUUUCGGCGGGGGAUUGGCUCGGGGCCUAUCAGCUUGUUGGUGGGGGGAUGGCCCACCAAGGCGGUGGCGGGUAGCCGGACUGAGAGGGUGGUCGGCCGCACUGGGACUCAGACACGGCCCGGACUCGUGAGGGAGGCGGCAGUGGGGGGGAUUGCACGAUGGGCGGAAGCCUGAUGCAGCGACGGCGCGUGAGGGAUGGAGGCCUUCGGGUUGGGAACCUCUUUCGCCGGUGGUGGAGGCCCGGUCCGUUGCGGCGGGGUUGACGGUAGCCGGGUAUGAAGCGCCGGCUAACUACGUG